GAUGAACGCUGGCGGCGUGCCUAACACAUGCAAGUCGAACGGAGAAUUUGGAGCUUGCUUCAAAUUCUUAGUGGCGGACGGGUGAGUAACGCGUGGGUAACCUGCCCUUAAGUGGGGGAUAACAGUUGGAAACGACUGCUAAUACCGCAUAAAGUUAGAGGUUCGCAUGGACCUGUAACCAAAGGAGUAAUCCGCUUUUGGAUGGACCCGCGUCUGAUUAGCUAGUGGGUGGGGUAACGGCUCACCAAGGCGAAGAUCAGUAGCCGGCCUGAGAGGGUGACCGGCCACACUGGGACUGCGACACGGCCCAGACUCCUACGGGAGGCAGCAGUGGGGAAUAUUGCACAAUGGGCGCAAGCCUGAUGCAGCAACGCCGCGUGAGGGAUGACGGCCCUCGGGUUGUAAACCUCUUUUAGUAGGGAAGAAGCGAAAGUGACGGUACCUGCGGAAAAAGCACCGGCUAACUACGUGCCAGCAGCCGCCGUAAUAC
rnacentral:rRNA from 1 species